GUGUAGCGGUGAAAUGCGUAGAGAUCUGGAGGAAUACCGGUGGCGAAGGCGGCCCCCUGGACGAAGACUGACGCUCAGGUGCGAAAGCGUGGGGAGCAAACAGGAUUAGAUACCCUGGUAGUCCACGCCGUAAACGAUGUCGACUUGGAGGUUGUGCCCUUGAGGCGUGGCUUCCGGAGCUAACGCGUUAAGUCGACCGCCUGGGGAGUACGGCCGCAAGGUUAAAACUCAAAUGAAUUGACGGGGGCCCGCACAAGCGGUGGAGCAUGUGGUUUAAUUCGAUGCAACGCGAAGAACC
rnacentral:rRNA from 1 species